rnacentral:tRNA from 1 species
GGGCCGGUAGCUCAGUUGGUCAGAGCGCCAAGCUUAUACCUUGGUGGUCGCUGGUUCGAGUCCAGCCCGGCCCACCA